UCUUUUCAAAAACCAAGAGAACACUUGAAGAGAAAUAACAGAGGAUGAGAGCUCACUGAAACUCUAAGACUGUGAUAGCUAUCUCCACCGCCAUCUCCGCCGCCUUCGCCGUCUCCUCUGCCAUUGCUGACGUCGUCACUACUAAAUUUCAUCUCCUUUAUGCUGUUGCCAGAAAGCUACUGAGAUCGAGUCAAGACGCCUCCUUUAUCAACACGUUUCUAGAUCUUGUCGCAAUGCCCAAGCCUCCGAGACCAAGAGAAAGCACCUCUUCUGUCAACUCUCCUCCACCAAUGACUCUCGUGUUCUCCAUCGGCAUUCUCUCGCUUCUAUAUGCUCUUCUUCGUUCCACUCAUUCUCAAUUUUCGAUUCUCUUUCUCUUUUUCCUUUUUAUUCAUUUUCUUUAUUUUUCAUUCUCAGAUUCUGAAUACUUUGCUAUAUGAUAUAACAGUCAAUGAGUUUUAUUAUCUCUUAAUUGAUGAACAUUGUUUCAAAUUCGCAAGCACUCCAAGUGUUUGAUGAAUUGUUUAUUCUCUUAAUCGUUGUAAUGAUACUGUGUCUUAUUUGCUCCCUGUAAAUUAAAUCUGACCAUAGCAUAGAUUAGACUCUCCUGAUAAUAGCAUUUUCCCUAUUUCGUGUUAUACUGCAAGUGGCAGCAACUAUACUAUAUAUUUGGCCACUAUAUAUUUAUAAGCAAUGAAUUUAGUAUUUCAUUGUAAUGAAUUUUUUGUUUGAUCUAUUCAAGUUCAAUUCCCUGAGUAUAUUGUGAUCUUUUCAGGUUCUUGUAGUGUUAUAGUAUAUAUAGAAAGUUUUGUUUGUUAUUCUUGUUUAUAGUUGAGUUAGUAGAUUGAAUAUUAAAUCCUAAGAAUUUUUCUGUACAACAUUGUUAGACAGAUAGCUGAUGUUACUAGAAAGCAUAGGUGGAUCAGUGUUAACAAUGAAGUUACAUAUUUUGGUUUAUCUUUUGAGGUGAGUAUUCUUGUUCUCAAUGUUAUCAUCUUUUGAGGUGAGUCAUCAUUGCUUCUAAGAAAUUUGUUCACUCCAUUAUUUUUGCAGUAAGUUUCUGUAAUUUACCUCUAUAAAUAAUCUUGAACUUGGAUAAUUAUGAAAGUUCUGUGAUGAUUGAUUUUCUUGCAUAUUCUAUAAUCCAAAGUCCAAAUAUCAUGAGUCUGCUUCAUAUGAAGCUCCUUCUAACUUAGGUUCAAAUUCUUGCAUAUUCUAUAAUUCCUUGGAUCUAGUAGCUUGUAGAAUUUUAUUAUUUAUUGAUAUUAAUUAUCUGUCUUUUCUUUUUCCAUAGAAUGUCAAAGUGUAUUUUAGAAGAGGUAGAGCUAGAGAGAUGCUUGGCUACUAUACCGAUACAAUUGAUGAUAAAAUCUUUCAUUCAGUUUAGACUUGUGUGCGACAAGGAUCUGCAUAGGCUACUAUAUUUCUUUGUUUACAUCUUUGUUCGAUUGUUGCUCUUAUUUUCAUAUGAAAAUUUCAGAAUUUUCCAAAUCAUAGGUGAACUAUUUUUCUUUGCAGAUUUUCAACAUGCCUUGGUACUUGAACCAACCAACAAAAUGGCAUCCUCCACUGCCGAAAGAUUGAGGAAACUAUUCCAAUAGAUAUAUCAUUCUGUCCACUAUAUGUGAUGGCUUUGGUAAGUCGUCGUUGGCUGCCAAAUGCUUCCAAAAACAUGAAGGUUUUGAACCUACUCAUUUCUUGUUAUAGUAUUCAUACAACAUUGUGUUAGGUGGUGUCAGCAAAAUUAUACUUAUUCUUUGUUCUUUAAGGGAAGAAAAGCUAGUAUUGUUCAAGUUCUACAUCACUAGUGUUAUUGCCAAAAGUAAUAUAAGGUCAUUAGGAUUGUAAUGUACUACAAGUAAUGUGAGGUACAGUGCUCAUGACUAAAGCUUAAUAUUUUGAUUUUGAGAUGAUUGGUCUUCGAAUUUUACAAUAAAAGCACUCACCAUUGGUGUCUGAAGGUAUCUUACUACCUUGUGGUAAGCUCUCAAAUGCCUAUUUUUUAUCUUA